rnacentral:rRNA from 1 species
UUACACGACUCUCGGCAACGGAUAUCUAGGCUCUCGCAUCGAUGAAGAACGUAGCAAACUGCGAUACUUGGUGUGAAUUGCAGAAUCCCGUGAACCAUCGAGUCUUUGAACGCAAGUUGCGCCCGAAGCCAUUAGGCCGAGGGCACGUCUGCCUGGGCGUCACGCAUCGCG